rnacentral:rRNA from 1 species
UACAGAGGUCCCAAGCGUUGUUCGGAUUCACUGGGCGUAAAGGGUGCGUAGGUGGCUUGGUAAGUUUGAUGUGAAAUCUCCGGGCUUAACCCGGAAAUGGCAUUGAAUACUAUUGAGCUGGAGGUUUGGAGGGGGGACUGGAAUUCUCGGUGUAGCAGUGAAAUGCGUAGAUAUCGAGAGGAACACCAGUGACGAAGGCGAGUCCCUGGACAACACCUGACACUGAGGCACGAAAGCUAGGGGAGCAAACAGG